CGGUUUAAGACUCCGCCGCCGUCAUGGUCUCCAGAAGAACAGAUUUCUUUCUAUAUAAACGUAUCAAAGACCCGUUCGAAGAUCUUAUUAUUCGAUCUUCCCUCGUUCGCGUCCGAGAAAACCCUCCUCGAGAAAUCUCGCAAGCAUUUGGAGAGAGAUGGGGAGCUCUGAGUUUUCGUGGAAAUUGGCUGAUCACCCGAAGCUUCCAAAAGGGAAGACGGUGGCCGUUGUGGUUUUGGAUGGAUGGGGCGAAGCCAAUCCCGAUAAAUACAAUUGCAUUCACGUCGCCGAGACUCCUGCCAUGGAUUCACUCAAGAAGGGUGCUCCGGACAGAUGGAGGCUGGUAAGGGCUCACGGCACAGCGGUGGGACUUCCUACUGAGGAUGACAUGGGCAACAGUGAAGUAGGUCACAAUGCACUAGGUGCAGGACGCAUCUAUGCCCAAGGUGCUAAGUUGGUGGAUCUUGCACUUGCCUCUGGAAAGAUAUAUGAAGGGGAAGGUUUCAAGUACAUCAAAGAAUGUUUUGAUCAAGGUACUUUGCAUCUCAUUGGGUUAUUGAGUGAUGGAGGUGUUCACUCUCGGCUAGAUCAGUUGCAGUUGCUACUGAAAGGUGCUAGUGAGAAUGGUGCAAAAAGAAUCCGUGUGCAUGUUCUUACCGAUGGCCGAGAUGUUUUGGAUGGGUCAAGUGUUGGUUUUGUUGAAACACUUGAGAAUGAUCUUUUGAAGCUACGAGAGAAGGGUGUUGAUGCACAAAUUGCUUCUGGUGGUGGUCGUAUGUAUGUUACCAUGGAUCGCUAUGAGAAUGAUUGGGGUGUUGUUAAGCGUGGUUGGGAUGCUCAGGUUCUUGGUGAAGCACCACACAAGUUUCAAAGUGCCGUUGAAGCUGUCAAAAAGCUCCGGGAAGUUCCCAAAGCCAAUGAUCAGUACUUGGCCCCUUUUGUUAUAGUUGAUGAGAGCGGCAAGGCAGUUGGGCCAAUAGUGGAUGGUGAUGCGGUUGUAACAUUCAACUUCAGAGCAGAUCGUAUGGUCAUGCUUGCUAAAGCACUAGAAUAUGAAGAUUUUGACAAAUUUGACCGUGUUCGCUUUCCAAAGAUUCAAUAUGCUGGAAUGCUUCAGUAUGAUGGUGAAUUGAAGCUUCCAAGCCAUUAUCUUGUUUCUCCUCCAGAGAUAGAGAGAACAUCAGGAGAGUACCUAGUGCACAAUGGCAUCCGUACUUUUGCUUGCAGUGAGACUGUCAAGUUUGGUCAUGUCACCUUUUUCUGGAAUGGGAAUCGAUCUGGGUAUUUUGACCCGUCUAUGGAAGAAUAUGUUGAAAUUCCAAGUGAUGCAGGAAUUACAUUUAAUGUUAAACCCAAGAUGAAGGCCGUGGAAAUUGCUGAAAAGGCAAGAGAUGCUAUCCUUAGUCGCAAGUUUGACCAGGUUCGUGUCAACCUUCCUAAUGGAGAUAUGGUGGGUCAUACUGGUGACAUAGAGGCCACUGUUGUGGCAUGCAAGGCUGCUGAUGAUGCUGUCAAGAUCAAAUUUUUUAAGUGAAACCGCCCUUCUUGAGAUCGUCCCCACCACCUUUGUUGCCACCGCCUCUGUCACUGCCACCCGCGCUAUCACCAUUGCUACCCUGAUUGUUGUUGUGACCGCUACCUCAAUGGCCACCUCCACCUCUGCUGUCGCCACCGCCACCGCUGCUGCUGCUGCCGCUGCUGUCCCUGCCGCUGCCACCCCUGCCGUGUUCACCAUUGAAGAUGAUUCUGGAUGCUAUAGAGCAAGUGGGUGGAAUAUAUGUGGUCACUGCAGAUCAUGGAAAUGCUGAGGACAUGGUAAAGAGGAACAAAUCCGGCCAACCACAACUUGACAAAAAUGGGGACAUUCAAAUUCUCACUUCCCAUACUCUUCAACCAGUUCCGGUUGCCAUUGGUGGCCCUGGUCUUGCACCUGGUGUCGGAUUCCGGAAGGAUGUACCCAAUGGUGGCCUUGCCAAUAUUGCUGCUACCGUUAUGAAUCUUCAUGGUUUUGAGGCUCCUAGUGACUAUGAGCCAACCCUCAUUGAAGUAGUUGACAAUUGAAUGCAUCAUCUAGUCGUAACUUAACGCAGGAGUUAUAUUGCUCCAUUCUAGAGUCUGACUCAAAUUCUACCACCAAUACUUGUUUGAUUGGAAGAGAUGUCUGAAUAAAUUCCUUUUUGUGAAACUUCAAUGUUUUGUGAGCCGCAGUAGAAGCUGUUAAGAGUGUUAUAAUUUUACCCCUUUUUUCUGGAGGAAGUUAAUUGUGUGGGGUUCUCCCGCCAUGAUUCUCCAUGAGCAUGUUUUAAGUGCCUUGUACUUGGUGGGAAGCUAUUUAAACUUGAAAUGGACUAUAUGCAUUUUCUGUUAUCAUGAUUGUCUUUUUAUGCUACCCCCCUGUGUUUGUAUUUUU